UACGUAGGGGGCUAGCGUUGUCCGGAAUCAUUGGGCGUAAAGCGCGCGUAGGCGGCCAGAUAAGUCCGGUGUGAAGUCACAGGCUCAACCUCGAGAGGUCGGUGGAAACCGUCCGGCUAGAGUCCGGGAAGAGGAGAGUGGAAUUCCCGGUGUAGUGGUGAAAUGCGUAGAUAUCGGGAGGAACACCAGUGGCGAAGGCGGACUUCCUGGCCCUGUUCUUGACGCUGAGGCGCGAAAGCUAGGGGAGCAAACGGGG
rnacentral:rRNA from 1 species